CGGACGGGUGAGUAACGCGUGGAUAACCUGCCGUAUGCAGGGGGAUACCAACUGGAAACAGUUGCUAAUACCGCAUAAGCGCACAGUGUCGCAUGACACGGUGUGAAAAGAUUUAUCGGCAUACGAUGGAUCCGCGUCCGAUUAGCCAGUUGGCGGGGUAACGGCCCACCAAAGCGACGAUCGGUAGCCGGCCUGAGAGGGCGGACGGCCACAUUGGGACUGAGACACGGCCCAAACUCCUACGGAAGGCAGCAG
rnacentral:rRNA from 1 species